rnacentral:lncRNA from 1 species
CCACUUUCGGUCAUUUGUUCAAACUUCAUUCUGAUUGAUAUCUACUGAUAUAAAUCAUAUUUCAUAUACCUUGAACAUAUUUCUGGGCUUGAAAUUCGAAAUACAUGUUUGGGGUAGGUUUAGGGCAAAUUUGGGUAGUAUUUUCACAAAACAGUUGUACUUAAUACUUGCUGUUUUAAGUGUCUAUUUUGUUUGCUUGCUUUGAAUUGUUUUUGUUGAGUCAAUAUUAAUAUCAGUUAACCUAGGAUUGAAUGCUUAGG